AGCAGAGCGAGCCAGAGGCGGGGAGGAGGCGGCGAAGGAGCAGCUCUCCUCCUGAGUCUCCAUCCCAGAGAAGACACAGAGGAAGAAGACGGUCCCGCCUCGCCCGGUGCAUCCCAGCAGCUCCUGAAGUUAAAACCAAGACGUCCACUGUGAGGUCAAGAGGACAUGGUGUGCCGUGAAGUCUGUUAGCAGAGACUGAACCUCAGAAGACUGAACACAGAGGGGGAAAACUGCAUACAAAAUCACACGCAGGCUACAGCUUAAACAUAGGGUCCUUCAGGAGCUGAUGCGGGUAUCUGCGACAUCAGGAGCCCAGACGCUGCCGUCCAUGUUCACCUGACACGAGGAUGUGUUUCAGAUAACACAAAAUGCAGAUAAAUCACACACCAACAUGAACCCUCGCUCAUCACACUUCCUUCUGUUCAACCAAACAAAAAUCUUUAUCAAUCAAAAUCAUUAUUCUCUUUGACAAGCCUCUGCUUGACGCUGAGUCAUAGUGACACCAGGUACACUAAUGAAUAUUAACUUCACAGUCUAAUCAUUUGCCUUUUAGAUUACUACUUGAACCUGUAAUGUGAAAAACAAUUGAGUGGCUGAAGAAGUAUUCAGGCGAGACACCACAGGUGUAUUUUGCUUUCAUAACAUGUUGUCUUUCAGACCAGUAAAAAGAAAUUGUCCAAAAUACACAGUUAGAUGUUUAAGAUCAGAUUUCUGUGAAUUAGAUAAUGCUUUGUUUGAAUAUUUAAACAUAACAUUGAUGUAAACUUGUAAUACAUAAAGUAAUUGUCUUAAUGUAAGAGAUACACUGGGGAAGUUUCAUGGUGAUAUCUAUUAACAGUUUUACCCUGGCUGCCCAUUAGAUCUAAAAUUUACUCUGUUACAAGGGCACCAAUGCAAUCAAAGUUUUACUGAAAUAAAAGUAUAUAAGUAUCAUCAGCAAAAUGUACUCAAGUAAGCAAAUAAUGGCUCAUUUAAUAGUGAUAUUGUAAUUAUUAGACAUGUUAUUAACUUUUUACAACUGGUAAACUACCAUAUACGAGGCAUUUUAAUGUAGCUGGUUGAGGUGGAGCUGAUUUUAACUUCAUUAUAAACUAAUCUACAAUUAAUCUACAACACUUCAUCCUAUUAUGAUGACCUGAUCAUAUAUUUUUUAUUCUAAAAUCUUAAUUCUCUAACUUACCUUUUCAGCUUGUACAAUAGCUAGCAAAUAAAUGUAGUGAAAUGACAAUGCAAUAUAUUCCUCUGCAUGUAGUGCACUGAAAUUGGAAAGUAGCGUGUAACAAAAGUACAAGUACAAGACCAUUGUGGUGCGGCAACUUUAGCAGUAGUACAAUAUAAAAGUCAUGCAUUAUAAAUCCCAAUUAAGUAACAAUACAGAUGUAUUCUCAGCAAAAUGUACUUAAACUAUCAAAAGUAAAAGUACUCGUGAUCUACAACCAAUUUAUAAUAAUGCAUUAGAAUUUAUAACAUGACAGCGGUUGAGAAAGUAUUCAGGUCCUUACCUUUAGUAAGAGUAGCAGAGGUGUGGACUCGAGUCACAAAUUUGAUUACUUGAAUCCCAACGUGACAAAAUCAAAAAAGACUGCCAACUGGACUUGGACUUUAACACCAAUGGCUCGUGACUUCACUUGGACUUGAGCCUUCCGCCCAAAGAUUAGAAAGUAUGUUAUUUGAAAAGUGUCAACUGAUUUCUCUUCAUCUCCUGAAUCCACUAACAUUAAUGCAGUUCAUUCCCAGCAAGUUGACACUUAGCUCCAGAUCCACUUUGUCUGAACCAGUCCGACAGCAUCCAGUCAAAUUG